GAUGAAGAACGCAGCGAAAUGCGAUAAGUAAUGCGAAUUGCAGAAUUUCCGUGAAUCAUCGAAUCUUUGAACGCACAUUGCGCCCCUUGGUAUCCCGAGGGGCAUGCCUGUUCGAGCGUCAUUUCACCACUCAAGCCUGGCUUGGUGUUGGGCGACGUCCUCUUUGGGGACGCGCCUCGAAACGCUCGGCGGCGUGGCACCGGCUUUAAGCGUAGCAGAAUCUUUCGCUUUGGAAGUCGGGGCCCCGUCUGCCGGAAGACCUGCUCGCAAGGUUGACCUCGGAUCAGGCAGGGAUACCCGCUGAACUUAAGCAUAUCAAUAAGCGGAGGA
rnacentral:misc_RNA from 1 species